rnacentral:rRNA from 1 species
CACGACACCGGAGAGGGAGCCUGAGAAACGGCUACCACAUCCAAGGAUGGCAGCAGGCGCGCAAAUUACCCAAUCCCGACACGGGGAGGUAGUGACAAUAAAUAACAAUACGGGGUUCUUUAGGAUCUCGUAAUUGGAAUGAGUACAAUUUAAAUCUCUUAACGAGGAACAAUUGGAGGGCAAGUCUGGUGCCAGCAGCCGCGGUAAUUCCAGCUCCAAUAGCGUAUAUUAAAGUUGUUGCAGUUAAAAAGCUCGUAGUUGAAUUUCGGGGUUAGUAGGUUGGUCAUGCCUCUGGUAUGUACUGGUCUCACUGAUUCCUCCUUCCUUAUGAACCGUAAUGCCAUUAAUUUGGUGUUGCGGGGAAUUUGGACUGUUACUUUGAAAAAAUUAGAGUGUUUAAAGCAAGCUAACGCUUGAAUACAUUAGCAUGGAAUAAUGAAAUAGGACGUUCGAUCUUAUUUUGUUGGUUUCUAGGAUUGACGUAAUGAUUAAUAGGGAUAGUUGGGGGCAUUAGUAUUCAAUUGUCAGAGGUGAAAUUCUUGGAUUUAUUGAAGACUAACUACUGCGAAAGCAUUUGCCAAGGAUGUUUUCAUUAAUCAAGAACGAAAGUUAGGGGAUCGAAGACGAUCAGAUACCGUCGUAGUCUUAACCAUAAACUAUGCCGACUAGGGAUCGGAUGAUGUUAAUUUUUUAAUGACUCAUUCGGCGCCUUACGGGAAACCAAA